GGACGAACGCUGGCGGCGUGCUUACCACAUGCAAGUCGAACGGAAAGGCCCUGCUUGCAGGGUACUCGAGUGGCGAACGGGUGAGUAACACGUGGGUGAUCUGCCCUGCACUUCGGGAUAAGCCUGGGAAACUGGGUCUAAUACCGGAUAGGAGCCAUUUUUAGUGUGAUGGUUGGAAAGUUUUUUCGGUGUAGGAUGAGCUCGCGGCCUAUCAGCUUGUUGGUGGGGUAAUGGCCUACCAAGGCGGCGACGGGUAGCCGGCCUGAGAGGGUGGACGGCCACAUUGGGACUGAGAUACGGCCCAGACUCCUACGGGAGGCAGCAGUGGGGAAUAUUGCACAAUGGGCGCAAGCCUGAUGCAGCGACGCCGCGUGGGGGAUGACGGCCUUCGGGUUGUAAACUCCUUUCGCUAUGGACGAAGCUUUUUGUGACGGUACCUAGAUAAGAAGCACCGGCUAACUACGUG
rnacentral:rRNA from 1 species